rnacentral:rRNA from 1 species
UUAAAUUGAAGAGUUUGAUCAUGGCUCAGAUUGAACGCUGGCGGCAGGCCUAACACAUGCAAGUCGAACGGUAACAGGAAGAAGCUUGCUUCUUUGCUGACGAGUGGCGGACGGGUGAGUAAUGUCUGGGAAACUGCCUGAUGGAGGGGGAUAACUACUGGAAACGGUAGCUAAUACCGCAUAACGUCGCAAGACCAAAGAGGGGGACCUUCGGGCCUCUUGCCAUCGGAUGUGCCCAGAUGGGAUUAGCUAGUAGGUGGGGUAACGGCUCACCUAGGCGACGAUCCCUAGCUGGUCUGAGAGGAUGACCAGCCACACUGGAACUGAGACACGGUCCAGACUCCUACGGGAGGCAGCAGUGGGGAAUAUU